rnacentral:lncRNA from 1 species
GGAGAACUAUAGUGGCCGAAGAGUUGCAAACCAUUGGUAUUGGUAUGAAAUUGGAAGCUAGGAAUUUUUUUGGGGGGAGUUCAAAUUGGGAGCCCGAUUGGGUUGGGAGGGAAGUUUUUAGGGGUAAAAAUUUUAGGAGGAAAACUAUUUUCUAAUUUCUAAACUUUUAAUAUAUAAAGUUAUAAAUAGGUUGGGAAGGAUGUUUUCAGGGGUAAAAAUUUUAGGUGGAAAACUAUUUUGUAAUUUAUAAACUUUUAAUAUAUAAAGUUAUAAAAAUUAAAUUGAAAUUAUACAACUUUUUUUUAAAUAUAUAAAUUACAUGUUGAGCAUAGAAAGUAAAUUGCCCAUUAUGAUUAGGGUGUAAACGAGUCAAGCGGUUUGGGAACCGUCGAGAUCAGUUUGAGAAAAAAGCUCAAAACGAGUUACAUCUUAUUGAGACUGAGCCGAGCUUGAGCCUAAAAUAAAGCUCGGUUAUUUAUUGAGCCCAAGCUCGAGCCUAGCAUGUGAAGCUUGUUAAGCCUUAUCAAGCCUUAAUGUAAUAUUAAAUAGCAUUUACCCCUUAUUUAAAGUUGUCUAGUAAACGAGUCGAGCCAAACUUAUUUAAAAUUGCUUUCGAGCCAAGCCUAGACCUAAAAACAAACUUCCUUAGUAAACGAACCCGAGCUUCACUAAUCGAGCUCGCAAUCCUAAACGAGUCUAUUAUUUUAUACCAUUCUUUAUCUAAUAUAUUAAUUAUUAGAUAAUAAACGAGCCCGAGCUUCACUUUUCAAGCUCGCAAGACUAAACGAGUCUAUUAUUUUAUAUUAUUAUUUAUCUAAUAUACUAAUUAUUUGAUGAUAAACGAGCAGAGUCCAUCGUGAUCCAUUAAGGCCCAAUACGGUUCAUUAAGACAUCUAUGAUCCACUAUUGUCCAUUGUGAUCCAUUAAGGCCCAAUAUAGUCCAUUAAGACACGUAAGAUCUACCAUUGUCCAUUAUGAUUCGUGAAGGCCCAAUAUAGUACAUUAAGAAAUGCAUGAUCCACCAUUGUUCAUUGUUAUUCAUUAAGGACCAAUGUGGUCCAUUAAGACAUGUAUGAUCUACCAUUGUCUAUCGUGAUCCAUUAAGGCCCAUUGUGGUCUAUUAAGAUAUGUAUGAUCUAUUAUAUUCCAUCAUAUGAUCUAUUAAAACUCAUUAUGGUUCAUUAAGACAUCUAUUAUCUACCAUUGUACAUUGUGAUCUAGUAGGUCAAAUACGGUCUAUUAAGAAAUGUAUGAUCUACCACUGUCCAUCGUGUUCCAUUAAGGCAUAAUAUGGUCCAUCAAGACAUUUAUGAACUACAAUUACUCAUUGUGAUCUAUUAAGGCCCAAUAUGAUCCAUUAAGAAAUGUAUGAUCUAUUAUUGUGUCAUUUUGAUCCAUUAAGACCCAAUAUGGUCCAUUAAGACAUAUGUGAUCUACUAUUGGCCAUUGUGAUCCAUUAAGACAUAUAAUUCACCUACUAUUGCCCGUUGUGAUCCAUUAAGUCCCAAUAUGGUCCAUUAAGGCCCAAUAUGGUCCAUUAAGGCCCAAUAUGGUCUAUUAAGACAUAUAUAACCUACUAUUGCCCGUUUGUGAUCAACUAAGGUUCAGUACGUUCCAUUAAGAAAUCUUAUUCACCUACUAUUGCGCGUUAUGAUUAAUUAAGGCCCAAUAUGGUCCAGUAAUACAUAUAGUACCUACUAUUGCCCGUUGUGAUCCAUUAAGGCCCAAUAUGGUCCAUUAAUGCAUUUGUGAUCUAUUAAGGCCCAAUAUUGUUCAUUAGGACAUAUAUGCCAUACUAUUGCCCAUUUUGAUACAUUAAGGCCCUAUAUGGCCGAUUAAGACAUAUGAAUUUUAUAGUAAGAUUUUUGUAUAUUUUUUUAAAUAGUGUAUUUUGAGAUAUGCUUGAGAUCAGCUCGAGAAAAAUCUCAAAACAAGCCGAGUCUUAUCGAGCCCUAAUUGACAUCAUUGGACUCAAAAACCCUAAUUGACCAUCAUUGGGCCUACAUGAUCAUCAUUGGGUCUAUUUGACCACCAUUGGGCUUAAUUGGCCAUCACUGAGCCUCAACAACCCUAAUUGACCUUCAUUGAACCUAGUUGACCAUCGUGGGUUCUAAUUGAUCAUCAUUGGGCCAAAUUGACAAUCAUUGAACUCAACAAACCUAUCUGACCUUCAUUGGGCAUAAUUGACCUUUUUGAACCCAAUUAACCAUCAUUGGGCCUAAAUCUCUAUCAUUGGUUCUAAUUGACCAUCAUUGGACCUAAUAGACUUGAGCCUCAUUAGCCCUAAUUGUUUCAGUAAGCCUAGUUGACCAACAUUAAGCCUUAUUAACCCCAAUUGGCUUUCACUAGGCCUAGUUGACUAUCAGUAGGCCUAAUUGACCAUCAUUAAGCCUCAUCAACGAAAAUUGACAUUCAUUAAGCCUAGUUGGCCAUCAACCAAUCUAAAUUAUUUUUUUACCAAAUAAAUAUGAUUUUUGGUUUUGGUUUAUUGAGUUUUCUAUAAAUAAUGAAAAAAUUUAUUUGAUUUUAAAUUACUUUAUAAUAUAAAAGUUAUUAAAAAUUUAUAUUAUUUACAUUUCUCGAACAUAUUUAAUAAAAUGCAUAAAUGCAUGAUUGAAGAGUUGUAUUAGAAGAUUAAAAAACAAUUUUUAGUAAAAAAUUUAAAGAUGAAGAUUAUAAGUUAUUAGACAAAAUCUAUAGUUAAUC